rnacentral:rRNA from 1 species
GACAGAGGGUGCAAACGUUGCUCGGAAUCACUGGGCGUAAAGCGCGUGUAGGCGGACAAUCAAGUCAGGUGUGAAAUCCCCGGGCUCAACCUGGGAACUGCAUCUGAAACUGGUUGUCUCGAGUAUCGGAGAGGGAAGCGGAAUUCCUGGUGUAGAGGUGAAAUUCGUAGAUAUCAGGAGGAACACCGGUGGCGAAGGCGGCUUCCUGGACGAUUACUGACGCUGAGACGCGAAAGUGUGGGUAGCAAACAGG